rnacentral:rRNA from 1 species
AUUGAACGCUGGCGGCAGGCUUAACACAUGCAAGUCGAGCGAGCGGCGGACGGGUGAGUAAUGUCUGGGAAACUGCCUGAUGGAGGGGGAUAACUACUGGAAAAGGUAGCUAAUACCGCAUACCAUCAGAUGUGCCGAGAUGGGAUUAGGUAGUAGGUGGGGUAAUGGCUCACCUAGUCGACGAUCCCUAGCUGGUUGGAGAGGAGGACCAGCCACACUGGAACGGAGACACGGUCCAUACUCCUACGGGAGGCAGCAGUGGGGAAUAUUGCACAAUGGGUGCAAGCCUGAUGCAGCCAUGCCGCGUGUGUGAAGAAGGCCGUCGGGUUGUAAAGCACUUGCAGCGAGGAGGCGUGACUCGAAGAAGAAGCACCGGCUAACUCCGUGCCAGCAGCCGCGGUAAUAC